UGUCCCCUCUCAACUACAUGCUGAAUACUGGAUCCUAGACUCUUGAGAGCUAAAUAAAGUAUAUCUUUUAGCUGCAGUUUCAUAUUAAAAAUGAAUUUUUAACAAUCUGCAUAUUUAGUUGAAAUAUUAGGGAAUAGUUACUAAAUGUACAAAAUGUUAUAAGAAAUGUAUGUUCAUGUCCUCAUUAUACUCCAUUCCAUAAGGUAGUAAAAUACUUGUCUGUUUUUCUUACAGAAGUUGAUUCAAGUCAGUUGAGACGCCAGUUGUGUGGAGGAAGUCAGGCCGCCAUAGAAAGAAUGAUCCACUUUGGACGAGAGCUGCAAGCGAUGAGUGAACAGCUAAGGAGAGACUGUGGCAAGAACACUGCAAAUAAAAAAAUGUUGAAGGAUGCAUUCAGUUUACUAGCAUAUUCAGAUCCCUGGAACAGCCCAGUUGGAAAUCAGCUUGACCCGAUUCAGAGAGAACCUGUGUGCUCAGCUCUUAACAGUGCAAUAUUAGAAACCCACAAUCUGCCAAAGCAACCUCCACUUGCCCUAGCAAUGGGACAGGCCACACAAUGUCUAGGACUGAUGGCUCGAUCAGGAAUUGGAUCCUGCGCAUUUGCCACGGUGGAAGACUACCUACAUUAGCUAUGCAUUUCAAGAGCUCACACUUAUAU
rnacentral:sRNA from 1 species